UAUUGUAUAUUCGAUUGAACCCUUUUUUUAUUAGUGGCCUUCAUCCGUGCAAAGACGUGCACAGUAUAUUCUGCCAGUGUCGUGUAGGUUUUAACCCUUAUGUUGACGCCUACGUUGUCAUAAACAAUAAUUGUCACUUAGUUGUUGAGAACGUUGUCUUUGUCUACUACGAAUCAUAUCAGUCAGCCGUUUUUUUGCCCUUCUGUUUUGGCAAAGGUCAAGGAAUAGGUUCCUAAGGGUCACACGGAGGGAAAUAUUUUUAACCAACAUUCGUUAGCACUGCAAUUUAAUUAGUAUUUAUUAAACAAAUAUCAAAACCUUAUGAUUGCAUUGUUUGUUUUCUAACAAAAUCUUUUAAGAUACUGAUCGGAGUAAAUAAUGAAUACAGCGAGAAAAGCAAAACAACUGAAAAAGGCACUACCAUAUAUUCUAUAGCUGAUGUACUGCAAACACUGUUGAAACUAAACGAGGCCAGAUACAACACAUUCAAAAAACUUAACUCACUAAACAAUAUACAUUACAUGAGAACUUUCAGUGAGAAAGAAAAUGAAAAUAAUAUUUGGGAAACUUUUCUGGAAAUAGCGACAUUUUUCAAGCUGUCAUUUAAACCAAAUCUUGAGAAAGACGAGGAACAAAAUAUUCGUUAUUACGACGUGUAUCACGACGAUAAAUAUAUAUUCACAAUCCCAGUACCGAAGAGUAUGGACUUAAAGAAAGUUCUUAGCGUGACCGCUGCAUCCGAUGACAAAAACACUGAUGUGAAAAAGAAUGGCAGUCUCAGACACUACACGUGCAGGCGAGGCGAUAAAAGAUGUAAAUCAGCUUGCAGGGAAGCCCUGAUGAUGGCUUGCAUUAUACUUCCUGUAUGCGAAUACGAUUUUUACAUGCAAAUGACAUUGUCCUGUAAAUACGAGUGCGAGGAUAGAUUCUAUUGAAACAAACUUAAAUAUGUUAUAUAUAAAUAGACUGAGUUUAAUAAUAAUAAAAUAAAGCAAUGAAUUCUUGUUUUAUUGUCGAUUUGUGUUUCAAUUUUAGAAGUAUGCUAGCAACCUUAUCGAGUUGUGUAAUCGUUUUUAUAAUUUUAGAAUUAACACAUGUAGAACUUGAGAUGUCCAUCUUGAAGACAGAUGAUUUAAAUGUUUUACAAGAUAUUAUAAACUCUAUAUACAAAAAAAAUAAAAUAAGGCGUCACGAUAUAAGAAUAUCAUCGUCCGACUCAGAGCCAAGUAAAGAGUUUGAAACUACUACAAAGAAAGCGAUUAAAAGUCGUUAUUUAAAGAAUAAUAAAAAUAUUCUUAGAAUUCUACCCGGUAAGGAUUUACGAAGUAAUAGUUCAGAAUUAUCGAAAAGCUAUGAUUAUAAUGAUGAUUCAGGGCAAACGGAGCACAUCAAAACUGAAGAAAUCUAUAGCACAGCUGAAAA